UACAGAGGUCUCAAGCGUUGUUCGGAUUCAUUGGGCGUAAAGGGUGCGUAGGUGGCGAGGUAAGUCUGGUGUGAAAUCCCGGGGCUCAACCCCGGAACUGCACUGGAUACUGCCCUGCUUGAGUACUGGAGAGGAGAUUGGAAUUUACGGUGUAGCAGUGAAAUGCGUAGAUAUCGUAAGGAAGACCAGUGGCGAAGGCGAAUCUCUGGACAGUUACUGACACUGAGGCACGAAGGCCAGGGGAGCAAACGGG
rnacentral:rRNA from 1 species